rnacentral:rRNA from 1 species
GUGGGGAGCAACAGGAUUAGAUACCUGGUAGUCCACGCUGUAAACGAUGUCGAUUUGGAGGUUGUUCCCUUGAGGAGUGGCUUCCGGAGCUAACGCGUUAAAUCGACCGCCCGGGGAGUACGGCCGCAAGGUUAAAACUCAAAUGAAUUGACGGGGGCCCGCACAAGCGGUGGAGCAUGUGGUUUAAUUCGAUGCAACGCGAAGAACCUUACCUACUCUUGACAUCCAGAGAAUUUAGCAGAGAUGCUUUAGUGCCUUCGGGAACUCUGAGACAGGUGCUGCAUGGCUGUCGUCAGCUCGUGUUGUGAAAUGUUGGGUUAAGUCCCGCAACGAGCGCAACCCUUAUCCUUUGUUGCCAGCACGUUAUGGUGGGAACUCAAAGGAGACUGCCGGUGAUAAACCGGAGGAAGGUGGGGAUGACGUCAAGUCAUCAUGGCCCUUACGAGUAGGGCUACACACGUGCUACAAUGGCGUAUACAAAGAGAAGCGACCUCGCGAGAGCAAGCGGAACUCAUAAAGUACGUCGUAGUCCGGAUUGGAGUCUGCAACUCGACUCCAUGAAGUCGGAAUCGCUAGUAAUCGUAGAUCAGAAUGCUACGGUGAAUACGUUCCCGGGCCUUGUACACACCGCCCGUCACACCAUGGGAGUGGGUUGCAAAAGAAGUAGGUAGCUUAACCUUCGGGAGGGCGCUUACCACUUUGUGAUUCAUGACUGGGGUGAAGUCGUAACAAGGUAACCA